CCCAAUCAGGAAAUGUCCAGGGGUGAGC
rnacentral:sRNA from 1 species